GUUCCUGUGUGAUGGGGCCGGAGCCAGUAAACAGGCUUCCUUCUCGCUCUGCUGUAUAAGAAGAAGAAGUAGGAGAAACAAAAUAAGGAGGAGAAGAAGUAAAAUAAUUUGAGAAGGAAUAUGAAGGGGCUGAAAUCCUGGGCUUUCUGGGCAGAAGGAUCUACGAGCGGGAUCGUGGGUGAAACAUGAAGAUGAUGGUGGACAGGUGAGCUACGCAGUUCGUGGAAGAACCAGGGGUCACAUGGCCUAGAUGCUACCCUAGAUGAGAAAGAGUCCAAUGGUUAUCAACAAGUUCUGAAAGGCAAGGCCUAAGGUACUGAAAAUUAUAUUACUCAAAGCUGAAGGCAGCAAAUCUGUUCAUGUUUACACAGUUGGGAAAGUGGACUUGUGUUUUUUACAAGCAAACCAGUGACCAGCCAAUGGCAGGAGACCUUCCCCACCCCUAAAGGUGAUGCUCACCUACCGUCAUGGGUAAAAGGAAGCUCUGGCUCGAAUUCCUCAUGUAUUAUUCAUGUGUGAUGCCACCCAACGUGAUUCAGAGAAGAAAAUUCUCAGUGUGUUCACCAGAGGUGAUUACAUGAGAAUAAAGCACGGCCUGAUUUUUUUUCUUGUUCACAGGAAAAAAAAAAGAAAAGAAUGUAGAAUUUCUGAUGUGGGAUUGUUUCGACCUUGGAGAGUGUCCGUAUGAGACACAUGUGUGGUAUACAAAACACCUUUAAGAUUUAAUCAGAAUUGUAUAUCUUUCCAAAUUAAAUUGAUUGCUCCCUCAAACUCUUAUACAUCAUACCUGUAUCACUUUUUUUUUGUUUUUCUUUUUUUUUGAGAUGGAGUCUUGCUCUGUCACCCUGGCUAAAGUGCCAUUGUGCGAUCUCGGCUUACUGCAAUGUCCACCUCCUGGGUUCAGGCGAUUCUCCUGUCUCGGCCUCCCGAGUAGCUGGGAUUACAGUCCACGCCACCACUUCUGGGUAAUUUUUUGUAUUUUAGUAGAGACAGGGUUUCAUCAUGUUGGCCAGGCUGGUCUGGAACUCCUGAGUUCAGGCAAUCGGCCUGCCUCGGCCUCCCAAAGUGCUGGGAUUACAGGCAUGAGCCCCUGCACCUGGCCCCUGUAUCACUUAUUUAAGCACUUACAAUUCUAUCUUUAUAGAUAAAGAUGUAUAUAUUAUAUAUUUUAUAUAAUAUAAUUAUAUUUUCCAUGUAGUCUAUUUUGUAUCUUUUAUUGUAUUUGUUGUUUCUGGAUGAAACUCAAAAGCUCCUGUGAGUAAAAUGUGGAUGGCGGACAUUUCUUCUAUCAUCCAGUUAAAUGCAGAGUUGGUGCUUCAUUUACUUUCUACAACCUUUGAAGUUGAAUUGUUUCCUUUGAGAAGUCUUGGAUUUUGAUUCCUUCUUAUUUUCCCAAAGUAAAUAAGGGUCAUUUCUUUUUCAUUAGCCCUCUUUAAUAUUAUCUUAUUAUUCUUGGGUAAGAAAGAGCAGUCAAAUGCACAUACUUUAAAUUUAUGUUUAAAAAAUUGAGAUACUGACAUACAAAUCAGUUGUAGCAUCAGGGAAUCCAAAUUAAAAGGCUGAAAUAAUGGUGGUGAGGAGUAAGAGUAGAAGUAUUUAGGUCAAUGAGGAGUGGUAUGGGAAAAAAGAUUUAUACUCUAUUACUGUCUUUCACGUCAGCAAUUGUGCCAUUAACAGCAAGUAUUAAAAAAAACUGCAAACAGAAAAAUAAUUCUGGCAUUGAGACAUACAAAUUACAGGAACAUGAUAUAAUCAGAGCUCCUGAUUUGUAUCCCAGUAAACCACAAUAUCAUAGUAUUACUUCAAAGGGCACAAUUAGUCUUUUUUUCCCCAAAUAUGAAUAGCAUUGACAGUUUGUGUAUAAGCGUUGCCAUUAACAUUUUCUCACGUACAAGAUGCCAUCUUAAAGUCAGACUUCCUCCUGUCUGCACAUGAUAUAGCUAGCCACUCAGGGAUAUGGAUGGCUAUAGGCAGAAACCCACAGAGUUUCAGGUAACCAGGCAAUUUCAGUGUGUACAUUUAUAAAGAGGUUGUUAAAUUUGAUGUGAUAAAUAACAGUUUAAUCCUUCUAUAAAUUUAUAUAUUUAUGUAUGUAUGUUUAGUGUGAUUCUAAAACUAAAACACACACAUUCAUUUUUAUUGCAGCAUUCUUAAAUUCAUGAAAGUAAGUUGUAUUUCACUUUUUAAUGUAAUCUUAACCAGGAAAUCAAAGGAACUUGAGGAAACUGUGCUAGAAAUCCUGAACUCAAACUGUGAAGACACAGAACUUAAAAUAUGAAGACCUAGACUCCAGUUGCAUUCUAGUUUAUUAACUGCACAAUGUGAGACGAAUCAUUUUUUUCUGAACUUCAGUACUUUCAUCCAUAAAAGAGAACUCAUAUUUUGUAUUGUCAUGCGAGCAGAUGUUUAGUACUUGAGAAAACAAACUCUAACGUUGUACACAUGGAAAAAAUCACAGUCUAAAACAAUUCUGACAUUUUUCCUCCAGGCACAGCAUUCAACAGAUAUUGAGGGUCCCCUGACUGCCAUGAUACAUGCUGAACACUAGAAAUAAAAGGAUGAAUAUGUCACACAUUGCAAUAUACACUUUAUUAUCUGAUAUGUACAAAAGAAUGUAUAUAUGCAAAUACACAAAUACAAAUAUUUGCACUCAUGCAUAACACCCCAAAAUAUUAACAGUCAUUAUGAUGAUGUUAAACUUCUUUGUUCAGGCUUUAUUUCCUAAAUUUUAUAUAAUAUGCAUGCCUCGUUUUAAGUUUUAGAAUCACACUAAACAAAAUAAUUAUAAUUUAUUAAUAAUUUACUAGGAUAAUUUUAUGUCACAAAGAAAUUCACAGCAUAUUUGAACUCAUUUUUACAACAGGAAUUUCUAAGAAGCCUCAUUUUUUCCUUCCUAUCACAAACAA
rnacentral:lncRNA from 1 species